ensembl:lncRNA
CGGCAAGGGUCUGUGUCUUAGCUGGACUUAUUUUUCGUUUAUAUGGGCCGAUGAUGCUGGUCGAUGUGGAAAAAAUAACUGAGUUGUUUGGUGGUGGAGCUACAACAGAGGGCAGCUAUCCACCGGUGUGUGACAGAAAGGACAUGCCGCGAACGAGACAUACAAGGCGGUGAGGCUACUGCCGAUCGUCCGGUGUUUGCUAACGCGGAGGUCAAUCGUGGAUCAGGGAAAGCGAAGGCAGGAGCGUGAGGUGAACUGAAUUUCAGGUAAGAAGUUAUGACCUGCACUCUAUUUGGGUCAGAUAUAAACCGAGUUUAGGUGUAAUUUAUUUUCGUUGACCUUUUACAAUCGUACUGCCACGGGAGUUUAUAUACAGCUGUGUGCGCACUAAGUUACUGACGUUGGACUUUAUUUUAUUCAUUAGGGUUAGUUCAUAGAGUUGCCGUGCCGUACAAACGGAAUCGUCCCACAUUCAGAGAAAACAUUGAUUUAUUCUGUCGUUACGAAGCCUCCCCUGUCAUUCUCUCGCGUGUUGAAACGUCAGUCAUGAAACUGAUCAAUGAUCGGCUGUUCGCUCUUAUUUAUCGCGCUAAAC